CCUACGUGAGGCAGCAGUGGGGGAUAUUGCACAAUGGGGGAAACCCUGAUGCAGCGACGCCGCGUGUGGGAAGACGGUCCUCUGGAUUGUAAACCACUGUCCCCAGGGACGAAGAUGACGGUACCUGGGGAGGACUCUCCGGCUAACUACGUGCCAGCAGCCGCGGUAAUAGGUAGGGAGCGAGCGUUGUCCGGAAUUACUGGGUGUAAAGGGAGCGUAGGCGGGACUGCAAGUUGGGUGUCAAAUCUACCGGCUCAACCGGUAGCCGCACUCAAAACUGCAGUUCUUGAGUGAAGUAGAGGCAGGCGGAAUUCCUAGGGUAGCGGUGAAAUGCGUAGAUAUUAGGAGGAACACCAGUGGCGAAGGCGGCCUGCUGGGCUUUUACUGACGCUGAGGCUCGAAAGUGUGGGGAGCAAACAGGAUUAGAUACCCCAGUAGUC
rnacentral:rRNA from 1 species